CCUGAGAAACCCAAAAGAUCGAAUGGGGAGAUUCAUCGUCAGCUCAUUUUGUAUAUGUACAAGUUACGAUGCGGGUUACUACUUGUAGUAUUGCCUGCACGUUCUUAUAUAUUUAGUUGCAAGAUGUUGUCGGCGUGCACUUCUCCCCUAGUAGGACGUCGCGACCCGUUUGGUGUCGGUCUACGGCCCAAGUGAUAGCCUUUAAUGUAAUUUAAAAAACAUUGAAGAUCCUUGGUGUUUUCUGACCGGCUACUUGGCGGUACUCGUACGGUAUUUAGCCGCAUAAUUAUAUGCGUCCAUGCCCGUCGCAAGCGAGGCCAAUUACUGAUAGUACGGACCUAGUGCCGUCGUUGGUAUUGGCCAGCUGUUGGUUGUUACGGUGUUCUAGGACUGGCUAAAAUUAAUUACCGGUCGGCGAUGCUACUGCUUUGGGUACUUUCAGG
rnacentral:rRNA from 1 species